rnacentral:lncRNA from 11 species
GUAGAGUCUCACUUAUCCAACACUCGCUUAUCCAACGUUCUGGAUUAUCCAACGCAUUUUUGUAGUCAAUGUUUUCAAUAAAUCCUGAUAUUUAGGUGCUAAAUUCGUAAAUACAGUAAUUACUACGUAGUAUUACUGCAUAUUGAACUACUUUUUCUGUCAAAUUUGUUGUAUAACAUAAUGUUUUGGUGCUUAAUUUGUAAAAUCAUAAACUAAUUUAAUGUUUAAUAGGCUUUUCCUUAAUCUCUCCUUAUUAUCCAACAUAUUCGCUUAUCCAACGUUCUGUCGGCCCGUUUACGUUGGAUAAGCGGGACUCUACUGUAAUACCUGCUUUAUUGAUGAAUAGUUUAUUAUUCUAUCACCUCAAAAAUGACAAAACUUUUGUCCAGAGAAAGACAAAGAACAACAUUUUUGGAAAUUUACACCAUUUGAUUUAUUUCCAGCCUUAAGACCCACAAAGGGCCAUAAAGAGCCAGGUGGCUUUACUCUGAGCCAUAAGUUUUACCUCAGAAUAUGUUUUUUCUGUCAUCUGGAGAACUUCUUUUCACUUUAUUCAUGUAUGUUUCCUUAUUAUUUCAGAAAUUUCUUUAUCGAACCUUUACCUCAGAAAAGCCUUGUGAAAUAGAAAGAAGAAAAUGCCAAUUUUAUUUAUUAAGAGAUUGUCACCUCAGACUUUACCUCAGAAAUGGCCAAGCCUUGUGAAACGGAAGGGAGAAACAAAGGCAAAACUUUUGAAAAUUAGCACAGCUUUUUCUGAAGGGACCAGCUUUCUUCCCACUCACUCUUCUCCCAGCGCUGAAUUCAAGUCAAAGGGAAGAAACAAAAGGUCGAAGAGACAGAAGACAGAAGAUGCUUGAAGACACUCUCGCAAGGACACCGCCCGCCCCCCAAAAAAGGUCAUUGUCAGGGUAAUGGGUGUCAGGCUAGGCAUUUCAUGUCUAUCUUUGCAAUAAAAAACAGGCUACCUGUGUGCUAGGCUUUUGCAUGAAGAACACGGUUCCCCUCGUGUGUGGCAUCGAAGUUUCCCACUCGGGAACGGACGGGUCCUCCCUUUGUUCUAGGCAGAUGAUGGGGGUUUUCCUAUACAAGCCGUAGGGGCCACAGCUUGGGGGGCAGCGGGGGGCCCG